rnacentral:rRNA from 1 species
AUUGAACGCUGGCGGCAGGCCUAACACAUGCAAGUCGAGCGGAUGAAGGGAGCUUGCUCCUGGAUUCAGCGGCGGACGGGUGAGUAAUGCCCAGGAAUCUGCCUGGUUGUGGGGGAUAACGUCCGGAAACGGGCGCUAAUACCGCAUACGUCCUGCGGGAGAAAGUGGGGGAUCUUCGGACCUCACGCUAUCAGAUGAGCCUAGGUCGGAUUAGCUAGUUGGUGGGGUAAAGGCCUACCAAGGCGACGAUCCGUAACUGGUCUGAGAGGAUGAUCAGUCACACUGGAACUGAGACACGGUCCAGGCUCCUACGAGAGGCAGCAGUGGGGAAUAUGGGACAAUAGGCGAGAGCCUGAUCCAGCCAUGCCGCGUGUGUGAAGAAGGUCUUCGGAUUGUAAAGCACUCUAAGUUGGGAGGAAGGGCAGUAAGUUAAGACCAUGCUGUUUUGACGUUACCAACAGAAGAAGCACCGGCUAACUACGUG